GAUGAACGCUGGCGGCGUGCCUAACACAUGCAAGUCGAGCGGUAACACUUCGGGUGACGAGCGGCGGACGGCAGAGUAACGCGUAGGAACGUACCCCAAACUGAGGAAUAAGCACCGGAAACGGUGUCUAAUACCGCAUAUUAUCUUCGGAUCAAAGCUUCGGCGGUUUGGGAGCGGCCUGCGUCUGAUUAGCUAGUUGGUGAGGUAAAAGCUCACCAAGGCGACGAUCAGUAGCUGGUUUGAGAGGAUGACCAGCCUGACUGGAACUGAGAACGGUCCAGACUCCUACGGGAGGCAGCAGUGGGGAAUUUUUCGCAAUGGGGGAAGCCCUGACGGAGCAACGCCGCGUGCAGGAGGAAGGCCUUCGGGUUGUAAACUGCUUUUAUUGGUGACGAUUAUGACAGUAGCCAAUGAAUAAGGACCUGCUAACUACGUGCCAGCAGCCGCGGUAA
rnacentral:rRNA from 1 species